UACGGGGGGAGCAAGCGUUGUUCGGAUUUACUGGGCGUAAAGGGCGCGUAGGCGGCCAGCACAAGUCAGUUGUGAAAUCUCCGAGCUUAACUCGGAACGGUCAACUGAUACUGUGCGGCUAGAGUGCAGAAGGGGCAACUGGAAUUCUUGGUGUAGCGGUGAAAUGCGUAGAUAUCAAGAGGAACACCUGCGGCGAAGGCGGGUUGCUGGGCUGACACUGACGCUGAGGAGCGAAAGCCAGGGGAGCAAACGGG
rnacentral:rRNA from 1 species